UACGGAGGGUGCAAGCGUUAUCCGGAUUCACUGGGUUUAAAGGGUGCGUAGGCGGGGAGGUAAGUCAGCGGUGAAAUCCCCGAGCUUAACUUGGGAACUGCCAUUGAUACUAUCUCUCUUGAAUACCUUGGAGGUGGGCGGAAUAUGUCAUGUAGCGGUGAAAUGCUUAGAUAUGACAUAGAACACCAAUUGCGAAGGCAGCUCACUACACGAAUAUUGACGCUGAGGCACGAAAGCGUGGGGAGCAAACAGG
rnacentral:rRNA from 1 species